rnacentral:rRNA from 1 species
AUGUCGUCAAAGCGCCACCCCGACGUGCAGGGCGUCGGCCGGAAGGCCAAGCGCCAGCGGCAGCGCCGCCACCUUUACUUCGUGGUCGACGACGGGGACGGGUACGCCAUCCGAAAGAUAGACCUGUCGCCGGACUACGACUCGGACGACGACGCGGCGCGGCACGAGGACGGGGAGAUCGAGACGGUGGGCGCCGCGUGGUCGCCCCUGCCGGAGGCCCUCAUCCGCCUGCCUGCCCAGACGGGCGAGUUCUUCGUCGCCAGCGGCACCAAGAUCCUGAUCACGAACUGCGGCUGGCCGGAGCACGCCGUCCCCGUCUUCGACGUGCACUCGCGGAGCCUCGCCCUCGGCCCUCGCCCCCACAGCCGGACGUGCCCGCACACCCCAAUCUACAUGCCGGUCGCCCGCAACGUGGUCUCCGUGGACGCCGGGUCCUCGACCAAGCUCCUCUACCCUCCCCCGCCGGAGCGCAGCAGCUUCGCGUGGUCGUGGCUGUGUUUUGAAUUUGUGCCGAAAAAACGGAUUUCGGCCGAAUUUCGGCCAUCUCGGCCCGGGGCGAAAUCUAUCUUUCAGCCGAAAUUGGUCGAAUUUGAAAAAUCUCAAACCGAAAAUCAAAACGCUGGGUCGUGGGACAAGCUGGCCGACAAGCCGCCGUUCAGGCGCGUCGACGUCACCUGCCACGCGGCGCAUCCCGACGGCCGGACGCUGUUCGUCAGCACCGUGAGCAAAGGCGCCCCCGCUACCUUCACCCUCGACACCGGCGCCGAGGACGGCGUCGGCGUGUGGAAGCAGCACGGCAGCUGGAAGCUGCCGUUCAAAGGCCAAGCCCUCUUUGACCCCGCGCUCGAUGCCUGGGUUGGCCUCUCCGGGGACAAGGACACCCUCGGCCACCUCUGCUCCUCCGACGUGCCGCCCGUCGACGCCGACGAUGCCGGCAGUGAGACGGCCCCCAUGUGGCGGCUCAGCAAGGAGAAGCUGUUCUGCAGGGACCCCGGCGAGGAGCACCUUGGUGCAGAGCUCGUCUACAUGGGAGGCAGAAGCAAGUUCUGCAUCCUGCAGUGCUUCUCCAUUGUGUAUGAUGAAAAGGACGACGACGACGACGAGGGCGACUCUUACCAGGAAGAUGACAUCGACGACGAGAGCGACCCUUACAAGGAGGAGGUGAAUGAGGAGAACCUACCUCGUCGCCAUCUGCUCCAGCUUAUUACGUUCACCCUCAAGUAUGACAAGAACGGAGAACUGACUACUGCCAAGCGCCGCCGGGUUCGAUGCUUCGAGCUGCUGCGUCAUGCUGAUCCGCUUUUUGAUGAUGUCCGAGCCUUCUGGAUAUAA